rnacentral:rRNA from 1 species
GACGAACGCUAGCUACAGGCUUAACACAUGCAAGUCGAGGGGCAGCAUAAAUCUAGCAAUAGAUUUGAUGGCGACCGGCGCACGGGUGAGUAACACGUAUCCAACCUACCUAUUACUCGGGUAUAGCCUUUCGAAAGAAUGAUUAAUCCCCGAUACGAUAUAAAAGCUGCAAGGUUUUUAUAUGAAAGACUUAUUGGUAUUAGAUGGGGAUGCGUUCCAUUAGAUAAUUGGUGAGGUAACGGCUCACCAAGUCUUCGAUGGAUAGGGGUUCUGGAAGGAAGGUCCCCCACACUGGAACUGAGACACGGUCCGCACUCCUACGGGAGGCAGCAGUGAGGAAUAUUGGUCAAUGGGCGAGAGCCUGAACCAGCCAAGUAGCGUGAGGGAUGACUGCCCUAUGGGUUGUAAACCUCUUUUAUAAGGGAAUAAAACGCUCCACGUGUGGAGCUUUGCAUGUACCUUUUGAAUAAGGAUCGGCUAACUCCGUGCCAGCAGCCGCGGUAA